rnacentral:rRNA from 1 species
AUUGAACGCUGGCGGCAGGCUUAACACAUGCAAGUCGAGCGGGGUGAUGGUGCUUGCACUAUCACUUAGCGGCGGACGGGUGAGUAAUGCUUAGGAAUCUGCCUAUUAGUGGGGGACAACAUCUCGAAAGGGAUGCUAAUACCGCAUACGUCCUACGGGAGAAAGCAUGGGAUCACUUGUGACCUUGCGCUAACAGAUGAGCCUAAGUCGGACUAGCAAGUUGGAGGGGUAAAGGGCUACCAAGGCGACGAUCUGUAGUGGGUAGGAGAGGAUGAAAAGCCACACUGGGACUGAGACACGGCCCAGACUCCUACGGGAUGCAGCAGUGGGGAAUAUUGGACAAUGGGGGGAACCCUGAUCUAGCCAUGCGGCGUGUGUGAAGAACGCCUUAUGGUUGUAAAGCACUUUAAGCGAGGAGGAGGCUCUUUUGGUUAAUACCCAAGAUGAGUGGACGUUACUCGCAGAAUAAGCACCGGCUAACUCUGUGCCAGCCGCCGCAGUAA